rnacentral:rRNA from 1 species
UACAGAGGUGCGAGGCGUUAAUCGGAAUUACUGGGCGUAAAGCGCGCGUAGGCGGCUUUUCAAGUCGAUUGUGAAAUCCCCGGGCUUAACCUGGGAACUGCCAGGUCGAGACUGUCUAGCUAGAGUAUGGGAGAGGGAAGGUGGAAUUUCAGGUGUAGCGGUGAAAUGCGUAGAUAUAGGAAGGAACACCAGUGGCGAAGGCGGCUUCCUGGACUAAUACUGACGCUGAGGUGCGAAAGCGUGGGAGCA